rnacentral:rRNA from 1 species
GACGUAGGGCGCGAGCGUUGUCCGGAUUUAUUGGGCGUAAAGAGCUCGUAGGCGGCUUGUCGCGUCGACUGUGAAAACCCGCGGCUCAACUGCGGGUCUGCAGUCGAUACGGGCAGGCUAGAGUUCGGUAGGGGAGACUGGAAUUCCUGGUGUAGCGGUGAAAUGUGCAGAUAUCAGGAGGAACACCGGUGGCGAAGGCGGGUCUCUGGGCCGAUACUGACGCUGAGGAGCGAAAGCGUGGGGAGCGAACAGG